rnacentral:sRNA from 1 species
AAACGACUAAAGAUACGGGUGUAUGC